UACGUAGGGUCCGAGCGUUGUCCGGAAUUAUUGGGCGUAAAGAGCUCGUAGGCGGUUUGUCGCGUCUGCCGUGAAAGUCCGGGGCUCAACUCCGGAUCUGCGGUGGGUACGGGCAGACUAGAGUGAUGUAGGGGAGACUGGAAUUCCUGGUGUAGCGGUGAAAUGCGCAGAUAUCAGGAGGAACACCGAUGGCGAAGGCAGGUCUCUGGGCAGGAACUGACGCUGAGGAGCGAAAGCAUGGGGAGCGAACAGG
rnacentral:rRNA from 1 species